rnacentral:rRNA from 1 species
UACAGAGACUGCAAGCGUUAUUCGGAUUUACUGGGCGUAAAGGGUGCGCAGGCGGUUGGGUGUGUCAGAUGUGAAAUCCCGAGGCUUAACCUCGGAACUGCGUCUGAAACUAGUCGACUAGAGUACUGGAGAGGGAAACGGAAUUCACGGUGUAGCAGUGAAAUGCGUAGAUAUCGUGAGGAACACCAGAGGCGAAGGCGGUUUCCUGGACAGUUACUGACGCUCAGGCACGAAAGCAUGGGGAGCAAAAGGG